rnacentral:rRNA from 1 species
CGCCAGACUCCUACGGGAGGCAGCAGUGGGGAAUAUUGCACAAUGGGGGGAACCCUGAUGCAGCAACGCCGCGUGGGUGAAGAAGUACUCCGGUAUGUAAAGCCCUGUCAGCAGGGAAGAAAAUGACGGUACCUGACCAAGAAGCCCCGGCUAACUACGUGCCAGCAGCCGCGGUAAUACGUAGGGGGCAAGCGUUAUCCGGAUUUACUGGGUGUAAAGGGAGCGUAGGUGGCAUGGCAAGUCAGAAGUGAAAGCCCGGGGCUCAACCCCGCGGACUGCUUUUGAAACUGUCAGGCUGGAGUACAGGAGAGGUAAGCGGAAUUCCUAGUGUAGCGGUGAAAUGCGUAGAUAUUAGGAGGAACACCAGUGGCGAAGGCGGCUUACUGGACUGUAACUGACACUGAGGCACGAAAGCGUGGGGAGCAAACAGGAUUAGAUACCCGAGUAAC